rnacentral:rRNA from 1 species
AGCAGCCGCGGUAAUUCCAGCUCCAAUAGCGUAUAUUAAAGUUGUUGCAGUUAAAAAGCUCGUAGUUGAAUUUCGGGGUUAGUAGGUUGGUCAUGCCUCUGGUAUGCACUGGCCUCACUGAUUCCUCCUUCCUGAUGAGCCGUAAUGCCAUUAAUUUGGUGUUGCGGGGAAUUUGGACUGUUACUUUGAAAAAAUUAGAGUGUUUAAAGCAAGCUAACGCUUGAAUACAUUAGCAUGGAAUAAUGAAAUAGGACGUUCGAUCCUAUUUUGUUGGUUUCUAGGAUUGACGUAAUGAUUAAUAGGGAUAGUUGGGGGCAUUAGUAUUCAAUUGUCAGAGGUGAAAUUCUUGGAUUUAUUGAAGACUAACUACUGCGAAAGCAUUUGCCAAGGAUGUUUUCAUUAAUCAAGAACGAAAGUUAGGGGAUCGAAGACGAUCAGAUACCGUCGUAGUCUUAACCAUAAACUAUGCCGACUAGGGAUCGGAUGAUGUUAAUUUUUUAAUGACUCAUUCGGCGCCG